AGGGUUCCCACUCUCAAAGCCAUCUCCAUCUCUGGACUUCUGCAUUCUUGCGAUGCAUCUCUUAUCUGCAAUAUGGCAAACAAGACAUGAAACUGGACCCAUUCUUAAUUUCCAAAAAAAUACCAAUUCAGCCCUGGCACACAUGAGUACAGUAAGUGUUGCUGAAGACUAGAAGGAACGAAAGUAAGACAGACAAGUUUAGUCACAUCAUUCAAACUUCAACUUGAACAUUAGGCAGGGUUUGGGGUUUUCUGAUGGUUUCCAGCAUUGAAGAGAACAACUUUGUCAUAUUAGGAGAGGAGGAACCGCUGUCUUUGAUGGCAGGUUGACAAAGGCACUUUGUCCCUGGAGUCAUUUUAUUAUAUGACUACUGUGUUCUGCCAAGAAGGCUGAGACCACCUACCUGCACAUUGAAAAACACAGCUGAGAUCUGUCUUUGUGACCCAGACACAUGGCCUCUCAACUUCUCUCUGUACUGAAGGAAAACAUCAUAGCUCCAGCCAGAUGAAAACAAGCACUCCCCCCCGCCCCCACUUUUUCUGUGGGAAAGAUGAGCUGAAACCAAAGUUUCUAUAGGUUGUGAGGUUGCACAAAGAAAGGAGAUACAGCUUGUCUCUAUUCUACAAUGUUGGGGCUUCAACUGGAAGAUUGAAAGCUAGCAAUGGAAUUAUCUGGGAGUCUCCUUCACACAUGUGUCUGAGGUUUCCCUGCUGGUAUUGGCCAUUAGCUCAGCUAAAGCUGUCAACGAGAACAUCAAACAUCUGCACGUGGCCUGGCUUUUUCCUGGGGACUGGUCUCUCAGGGAGAGUGUCCUGAAAGAGAAUCCAGACAGAAGUCACAGCUCUUUUAUGAGCUAGCUUCAAGCAGUUACACAGCAUCAUUUCCACAAACUACAUCGAUUGGGACCUUUACGAGCCUCUGCCUGGGUUCGAGUAACAACAGUCAUAAAUACAGAUUGGUGUUCUUCUGGUUGAGAAGGAAAGAGAAGCUCAUUCUCUGGAAGGGCUUUCAGGGUUCUUCUGAAGCAAUGAGUAAUGUUCUAGGUUUGAACUGGGACAAAGGGAUCAUGUGCGUGUUCUCCGUGUGACUCUUCUCAAACCUCUCAAAAUAUAGCUCAUCAGAUCCAUGCAAGGAAUCACUAUUGUUCUAAAAUUGAGGUUUAACAUUCUCCAUAUGUCCUAGCAGACGGUGUACCCUCCAGACCCUGCCUAUAUCAUCAGUUUUAUCUUUCACUUUCUUACACCUGAUUUUUAUUACAUGGCAAAGUUUUAAUUGUUUAAAAAAAACCAAGUAGGCCCACACCAGUUAUGAUUAGAAGUCAGGGACCCCAAAACCGUUCCAUUUUGGACUGGUCUAUAUAAAGCCUUGGCCUUUUGUAUCAGAACUGUCCAUUUGUGUACUUGGCUUGUGUUGUUGUUCUUCUUCUUGACUUUCCUUUGUCUAUUCCUUGAGAGUAAGGCCACAAAAACAAUUCCUGAAAUGAUGCUGAUUCUUCAAGUCUCUCCUGGAAACUAAAGAGGAAAAAUGUGUUUUGCACAUUUGAAAAGCUGGAAAUAGCUAUUCAGGAUCUGGGUUUAUUCAAACCACUGAUUUCUAAUUUGUAAAAUUCUUCAGAUGGUGUUGGACAUAGAAAGCUCUACUAAAAUUGUUGAAGAUGUUUACUCCUCUGAAUUACGUAUGUGUUUUUGGCCAUUUCCUUGAAGGACAUGGUGAGUUAGCAUGGCUUGUGCUUGACAUUCCCCUUAGCUAAAGAUGCAUCCCUGACCUGACUUUUCUGUCACAUCAUAUUCCUCAUGUGCCAGACUGUCAACAAGAAUUUGUUGUGUGAUUCUCACAUGCCAGGCACCAUGCUAGAUCCCUCCUACACCAUGGUAAACAAGCUUCCCAUUGUUCCGGCCACUGUAAAUUUAUAAUCUGGUGAUUAUGCAGCUUCCUUUAUUUUUGAGAAAAUGUUAUUUUUUACCUACAUAGAGUAAACAUAACAUUUAAUAAGAAUCUGUCACAGUUGAUAGAGUAUCAAUGUCUUUUGAUGCCAAAAGGGACCAGUGAGUUGGUUAUAAAAUAACUAUAGAUAUUUAUAGUUGCAAAGAUGAAGAAAUCUAUACUGCAGGAUUUUUAUAUUUAUAUGUUCGAGAGACACGUGAUAUCUGUGUCGGUUGUAUAAGCAAAUAAAAUAGCUUAAAUAUUA